CCUACGGGAGGCAGCAGUGGGGAAUAUUGCACAAUGGGCGCAACCCUGAUGCAGCAACGCCGCGUGAGUGAAGAAGGCAUUCGUUAUGUAAAGUUCUAUUAGCAGGGAAGAAAAUGACGGUACCUGAGUAAGAAUCCCCGGCUAACUACGUCCCAGCAGCCGCGGUAAUACGUCGGGGGCAAGCGUUAUCCGGAUGUACUGGGUGUAAAGGGGGCGUAGACGGCAGUGCAAGUCUGGAGUGAAAGGCGGGGGCUCAACCCCCAGACUGCUAUGGAAACUGUUAGGCUGGAGUGCAGGAGAGGUAAGUGGAAUUCCGAGGGUAGCGGUGAAAUGCGUAGAUAUUAGGAGGAACACCAGUGGCGAAGGCGGCUUACUGGACUGUAACUGACGUUGAGGCUCGAAAGCGUGGGGAGCAAACAGGAUUAGAUACCCGGGUAGUC
rnacentral:rRNA from 1 species